AGGGUUUGAUCAUGGCUCAGGAUGAACGCUGGCGGCGUGCUUAACACAUGCAAGUCGAACGGAGCGCCUGUGACGGAGUUUUCGGACAACGGAUCAGGUUGCUUAGUGGCGGACGGGUGAGUAACGCGUGAGUAAUCUACCUUGGAGUGGGGAAUAACACAGUGAAACCUGUGCUAAUACCGCAUGAAGCAAGCAUCUCGCAUGGGGAGUUUGCCAAAGAUUUAUCGCUCUGAGAUGAGCUCGCGUCUGAUUAGCUAGUUGGCGGGGUAACGGCCCACCAAGGCGACGAUCAGUAGCCGGACUGAGAGGUUGGCCGGCCACAUUGGGACUGAGACACGGCCCAG
rnacentral:rRNA from 1 species